CUCAGACACUUGACAUUCACUAGCUAUGUGAUAAUGGACAAAUGACAACCUCAACUGUCUUACACACACACAAGAAUACAUUGUGUCAACUGAUGGAAAAUAAAGAGUGACAACCCUUUGAAAAAACUUUUAUAGGGAGCCAAGAGGACAGCAUACAGCCUAAGGCCCAUCUGAACUCUCCCAACAUUCCCCUCCAAACAACUUUAAAAUACCUCAAAUAAAAUUUUGGAGCAGCAGAAGCAACCAAAGGCCACUGGAAGACAUUUUCCAGCCAAAGACACUAUGAGAAAUCUGGAGAAGGAUCUGCAAGAAGGGUGGGCAGAGACCUCAAGCAAGGCAAAAGCAUCAGUGAUGGACCUUGGAGGCACUUAUGAUCACAGCAACAGCAGCAGCUUCAGAAGCACUCAACCCAGAAAUGAUACUAGCACUGACCUAUUCCCAAAAUCAGACUGCAGAGGCAACACGAAGUAGGAAAACACAGCACAGAGUUGGAAGGAACCCCCUCUCCUCAAGGUCAUCUAGUUCAAGUAAUCCCAGAACAGGAAUCCCAUCUAUAAUAUACCAACCUUUUGUUUGGAAAACUACCAGAAAAGGGAGCCUACAAAUUCCUAAGC